CCUACGGGGCGCUGCAGUGGGGAAUAUUGGACAAUGGGCGAAAGCCUGAUCCAGCCAUGCCGCGUGUGUGAAGAAGGCCUUCGGGUUGUAAAGCACUUUCAGUGGGGAAGAAAGCCUUGGGGCUAAUACCCUCGAGGAAGGACAUCACCCACAGAAGAAGCACCGGCUAACUCCGUGCCAGCAGCCGCGGUAAUACGGAGGGUGCGAGCGUUAAUCGGAAUUACUGGGCGUAAAGCGCGCGUAGGCGGUCUGAUAAGCCGGUUGUGAAAGCCCCGGGCUCACCCUGGGAACGGCAUCCGGAACUGUCAGGCUAGAGUGCAGGAGAGGAAGGUAGAAUUCCCGGUGUAGCGGUGAAAUGCGUAGAGAUCGGGAGGAAUACCAGUGGCGAAGGCGGCCUUCUGGACUGACACUGACGCUGAGGUGCGAAAGCGUGGGUAGCAAACAGGAUUAGAUACCCGAGUAGU
rnacentral:rRNA from 1 species